rnacentral:rRNA from 1 species
ACUGCGUACCUUUUGUAUAAUGGGUCAGCGACUUAUAUUCUGUAGCAAGGUUAACCGAAUAGGGGAGCCGGAGGGAAACCGAGUCUUAAUUGGGCGUUAAGUUGCAGGGUAUAGACCCGAAACCCGGUGAUCUAGCCAUGGGCAGGUUGAAGGUUGGGUAACACUAACUGGAGGACCGAACCGACUAAUGUUGAAAAAUUAGCGGAUGACCUGUGGCUGGGGGUGAAAGGCCAAUCAAACCGGGAGAUAGCUGGUUCUCCCCGAAAGCUAUUUAGGUAGCGCCUCGUGAAUUCAUCUCCGGGGGUAGAGCACUGUUUCGGCUAGGGGGCCAUCCCGGCUUACCAACCCGAUGCAAACUGCGAAUACCGGAGAAUGUUAUCACGGGAGACACACGGCGGGUGCUAACGUCCGUCGUGAAGAGGGAAACAACCCAGACCGCCAGCUAAGGUCCCAAAGUCAUGGUUAAGUGGGAAACGAUGUGGGAAGGCCCAGACAGCCAGGAUGUUGGCUUAGAAGCAGCCAUCAUUUAAAGAAAGCGUAAUAGCUCACUGGUCGAGUCGGCCUGCGCGGAAGAUGUAACGGGGCUAAACCAUGCACCGAAGCUGCGGCAGCGACACUGUGUGUUGUUGGGUAGGGGAGCGUUCUGUAAGCCUGCGAAGGUGGCCUGUGAGGGUUGCUGGAGGUAUCAGAAGUGCGAAUGCUGACAUAAGUAACGAUAAAGCGGGUGAAAAGCCCGCUCGCCGGAAGACCAAGGGUUCCUGUCCAACGUUAAUCGGGGCAGGGUGAGUCGACCCCUAAGGCGAGGCCGAAAGGCGUAGUCGAUGGGAAACGGGUUAAUAUUCCCGUACUUGGUGUUACUGCGAAGGGGGGACGGAGAAGGCUAUGUUGGCCGGGCGACGGUUGUCCCGGUUUAAGCGUGUAGGUGUGUGUUCCAGGUAAAUCCGGUUCACUUUAACACUGAGGCGUGACGACGAGGCACUACGGUGCUGAAGCAACAAAUGCCCUGCUUCCAGGAAAAGCCUCUAAGCAUCAGGUAACAUCAAAUCGUACCCCAAACCGACACAGGUGGUCAGGUAGAGAAUACCAAGGCGCUUGAGAGAACUCGGGUGAAGGAACUAGGCAAAAUGGUGCCGUAACUUCGGGAGAAGGCACGCUGACACGUAGGUGAAGUGAUUUACUCAUGGAGCUGAAGUCAGUCGAAGAUACCAGCUGGCUGCAACUGUUUAUUAAAAACACAGCACUGUGCAAACACGAAAGUGGACGUAUACGGUGUGACGCCUGCCCGGUGCCGGAAGGUUAAUUGAUGGGGUCAGCGCAAGCGAAGCUCCUGAUCGAAGCCCCGGUAAACGGCGGCCGUAACUAUAACGGUCCUAAGGUAGCGAAAUUCCUUGUCGGGUAAGUUCCGACCUGCACGAAUGGCGUAAUGAUGGCCAGGCUGUCUCCACCCGAGACUCAGUGAAAUUGAACUCGCUGUGAAGAUGCAGUGUACCCGCGGCAAGACGGAAAGACCCCGUGAACCUUUACUAUAGCUUGACACUGAACAUUGAGCCUUGAUGUGUAGGAUAGGUGGGAGGCUUUGAAGUGUGGACGCCAGUCUGCAUGGAGCCGACCUUGAAAUACCACCCUUUAAUGUUUGAUGUUCUAACGUGGACCCGUUACCCGGGUUGCGGACAGUGUCUGGUGGGUAGUUUGACUGGGGCGGUCUCCUCCUAAAGAGUAACGGAGGAGCACGAAGGUUGGCUAAUCCUGGUCGGACAUCAGGAGGUUAGUGCAAUGGCAUAAGCCAGCUUGACUGCGAGCGUGACGGCGCGAGCAGGUGCGAAAGCAGGUCAUAGUGAUCCGGUGGUUCUGAAUGGAAGGGCCAUCGCUCAACGGAUAAAAGGUACUCCGGGGAUAACAGGCUGAUACCGCCCAAGAGUUCAUAUCGACGGCGGUGUUUGGCACCUCGAUGUCGGCUCAUCACAUCCUGGGGCUGAAGUAGGUCCCAAGGGUAUGGCUGUUCGCCAUUUAAAGUGGUACGCGAGCUGGGUUUAGAACGUCGUGAGACAGUUCGGUCCCUAUCUGCCGUGGGCGCUGGAGAACUGAGGGGGGCUGCUCCUAGUACGAGAGGACCGGAGUGGACGCAUCACUGGUGUUCGGGUUGUCAUGCCAAUGGCACUGCCCGGUAGCUAAAUGCGGAAGAGAUAAGUGCUGAAAGCAUCUAAGCACGAAACUUGCCCCGAGAUGAGUUCU